rnacentral:tRNA from 230 species
GCGAAGGUGGCGGAAUUGGUAGACGCGCUAGCUUCAGGUGUUAGUGUCUUAACGGACGUGAGGGUUCAAGUCCCUCUCUUCGCACCA